rnacentral:rRNA from 1 species
CCUACGGGUGGCAGCAGUGGGGAAUAUUGCACAAUGGGCGUAACCCUGAUGCAGCGACGCCGCGUGAGUGAAGAAGUAUCUCGGUACGUAAAGCUCUAUCAGCAGGGGAGAAAAUGACGGUACCUGACUAAGAAUCCCCGGCUAACUUCGUGACAGCAGCGGCGGUAAUACGUAGGGGGCAAGCGUUAUCCGGAUUUACUGGGUGUAAAGGGAGCGUAGACGGUGCGACAAGUCUGGAGUGAAAUGCCGCAGCUUAACUGCGGAACUGCUUUGGAAACUGGCGAACUAGAGUUCGGGAGGGGUAAGCGGAAUUCCUGGUGUAGCGGUGAAAUGCGUAGAUAUUAGGAGGAACACCGGUGGCGAAGGCGGCUUACUGGACCGUAACUGACGUUGAGGCUCGAAAGCGUGGGGAGCAAACAGGAUUAGAUACCCUUGUAGUC